GAUGAAGAACGCAGUGAAAUGCGAUAAGUAAUGUGAAUUGCAGAAUUCAGUGAAUCAUCGAAUCUUUGAACGCACAUUGCGCCCGCCAGUAUUCUGGCGGGCAUGCCUGUCCGAGCGUCAUUUCAACCCUCGAACCCCUCCGGGGGGUCGGCGUUGGGGAUCGGCCCUCCCUUAGCGGGUGGCCGUCUCCGAAAUACAGUGGCGGUCUCGCCGCAGCCUCUCCUGCGCAGUAGUUUGCACACUCGCAUCGGGAGCGCGGCGCGUCCACAGCCGUUAAACACCCAACUUCUGAAAUGUUGACCUCGGAUCAGGUAGGAAUACCCGCUGAACUUAAGCAUAUCAAUAAGCGGAGGA
rnacentral:misc_RNA from 1 species